rnacentral:misc_RNA from 1 species
GUGGUUUUUCCAAACCCCAAAUAAAACUUUUUAGCUGCUGAAAAUUAAGAUGUUAAUCUGUAUACAAGAGUGAAAUGUCUGUAUCAUGUUUGAACAUGCAUGGAUGACUUGGGUUUGUAGGAAGAACAGAAAGAACCUUUUUAAUCCUUUAAUUGAGUUUACUAGAACUGAUUGGUAAUCAAAUUCCAAUCUUAGGGACAAACAUCUAAACCCAAGAUAAAACAAGGUAGUCAAAGGCGAUAGGUGCUUUUU